rnacentral:rRNA from 1 species
AACGAACGCUGGCGGCAUGCCUAACACAUGCAAGUCGAACGAGACCUUCGGGUCUAGUGGCGCACGGGUGCGUAACGCGUGGGAACCUGCCCUUAGGUUCGGAAUAACUCCCCGAAAGGGGUGCUAAUACCGGAUAAUGUCCUCGGACCAAAGAUUUAUCGCCUUUGGAUGGGCCGGCGUUGGAUUAGCUAGUUGGUAGGGUAAAAGCCUACCAAGGCGACGAUCCAUAGCUGGUCUGAGAGGAUGAGCAGCCACACUGGGACUGAGACACGGCCCAGACUCCUACGGGAGGCAGCAGUGGGGAAUAUUGGACAAUGGGCGAAAGCCUGAUCCAGCAAUGCCGCGUGAGUGAUGAAGGCCUUAGGGUUGUAAAGCUCUUUUACCCGGGAUGAUAAUGACAGUACCGGGAGAAUAAGCUCCGGCUAACUCCGUG